rnacentral:rRNA from 1 species
UACGUAGGGGGCAAGCGUUGUCCGGAUUUAUUGGGCGUAAAGAGCGUGUAGGCGGCCAGGUAGGUCCGUUGUGAAAACUGGAGGCUUAACCUCCAGCUGUCGAUGGAAACCAUCUGGCUAGAGUCCGGAAGAGGAGAGUGGAAUUCCUGGUGUAGCGGUGAAAUGCGCAGAUAUCAGGAAGAACACCCGUGGCGAGGCGGCUCUCUGGUACGUGACUGACGCUGAGACGCGAAAGCGUGGGGAGCGAACAGG